rnacentral:rRNA from 1 species
AGAUUGAACGCUGGCGGCAUGCCUUACACAUGCAAGUCGAACGGCAGCACGGGAGCAAUCCUGGUGGCGAGUGGCGGACGGGUGAGUAAUAUAUCGGAGCGUGCCCAGUCGUGGGGGAUAACGUAGAGAAAUUUACGCUAAUACCGCAUACGAUCCAAGGAUGAAAGCGGGGGACCUAAGGCCUCGCGCGACUGGAGCGGCUGAUAUCAGAUUAGCUUGUUGGUGAGGUAAAAGCUCACCAAGGCGACGAUCUGUAGCUGGUUUGAGAGAACGACCAGCCACACUGGGACUGAGACACGGCCAGACGUCCUACGGGAGGCAGCAGGUGGGGUAAUUUUUGGACAAGUGGGACGAAAGCCUAGAUACCGAGCAAAGUCGGACCGGCGU